AUGAGAUGGUGCGCACAACAACAGCAUAUUCUCUAUGUCAGUGCAAUUAAUGUGAAAUGGCUUUUGGUUGACAUUUGCAGUCUGAGCUGCCCCCAUUAUCUGGAGUCUUUUUACCUCAGAUGCUGUUGUUUUUAUUGGCUUGUCAUUGUCAUUUUCCAUUUUGGUCUAAAACUGUCCAUGGCUGAUCCAAACGGAUGUCAUUGUGGUGAUUAGUUACAGAGCUUCACAGUCCUGAUUACCGAGAAAGACAGUGAGGGCAUUUUGCCUGCCUUUUGCCUUCAGUGAAGGUUUGGGCUAGUUGCUGGGUGCUAAGGGACAUCCAAGGUGACGACCCGCAGAGAAAUCUGUAAUUUUGUACUUUUAAUAUAAACCUUUUGCUUUAAACUCCUGGGCUGCUGCAGGGCUCUCUUGAAGCUUAUAGCUCAAAACUCAAAGCUGAAAGUCCUUGCUCCCUCAGAGUUUUGAAAGGAUGAAAAAGAAAACAAAGCUGUGGAGGCAGAGGGGAUUAGCUCAGGAUCACCCAGCAGGUCAGUUGCUGUGCUGGGACUACCAUUGAAAUCUGCUGCCUUCUAUAUCACUUACCUGCUUGAUUGUGCUGCCAUGCCCAAGACAUGGGCAUGAUGGCAAUAUCCAGCUAUCCGGGUAACACGCGCUUUAAACCCCACAUUGAUGGAGAAGGACUGAUGGUCAGGCACCUCUGCAUUCCCUAAACUGAAGAGCAUUGGUUGUCCCUCUGUACUGCUUAUUUAUCUUUGAUCAUGAUUCUGAAAAUGUGCAGAUCUCAGGCUCCUGGAGAGGAGUGCUCCAAAGUGCUGUCAAGAUGACUGCUUUCCAUAAUUCCACAAACAAAGCCAGAGCCACACAGACUAUGCUUCAUCCUGCUCCACGGGCCAUAUAAGCCAUUUCCAUGUCAACAAGGACAGACGUACUUUUUGGUUUAUGUCUCUAGAAGAACUAGUGCUCUGGUUUGUUGAAAGUUUGGUUUUGCUUAGACAAAAACUGCCUCUGGAUUUAAUGGGAUAACACAUGGCUUUACGGGUAGUUCACUAUCCGUUACACAUUCAUCAUAGGCUUUUUCUUUCUUGGUACUAUUUGGUGGAACCCAGCAAGCUUCUGAACUGUCUGCACUGCAAGCAUGAAAAUCACAGUUUCAGGACAGAAAGUAUGCUAAUUCUUUUCAUCAUUAUAAUUAAGGUAGGACCUGUAAAAUACU
rnacentral:lncRNA from 1 species